AGAACAAACAUUUGCUCCAGACUUUUUUUCCUUAGCUCCCCUCCAACUCCUGCCCCUCGGAGCUGAGUCUAGCAAAGCCAAAUGGCAUGCUGCAGACCUGGCCCUUUCUCCCCAUCUCAAAAGAAACUCAUCUGAAGAUCUUUCAUUCCAGCUGGACAAGAGAAGAGUGAAAACACCAUAAAACAACAAGGCCAACAAGGCGCUGAAAUGCCCACCUCCAUGUCAGUCUGAAGCACCAUCCAGAAGUA
rnacentral:lncRNA from 1 species